rnacentral:lncRNA from 1 species
CUUAAUUAAGUUUUACAUCAACAUGGUUAAAGUUUUGAAAAUAAUUUUCACAUGUAAAUAAUAAAAUCUUUUAGAUCAAAUUUAAACUUUUUAUGACUUUAAAUCAAAAUAAUUUUGUAAAACAAGAUUAGAUGUAACUAACUUCUUUGCAACUUGCAGCACGUACAAAAAUACUUAGGGUUUCAAGGUCUAGGAUUUUACAAAAAAGUAAGUUUUCUCCUUUCGCUUUUUUUUUCAUGGGAUCUAAUCACAUGGCACCCC